rnacentral:rRNA from 1 species
AUUGAAUGCUGGCGGCAGGCCUAACACAUGCAAGUCGAGCGGAUGAGUGGAGCUUGCUCCAUGAUUCAGCGGCGGACGGGUGAGUAAUGCCUAGGAAUCUGCCUGGUAGUGGGGGACAACGUUUCGAAAGGAACGCUAAUACCGCAUACGUCCUACGGGAGAAAGCAGGGGACCUUCGGGCCUUGCGUUAUCAGAUGAGCCUAGGUCGGAUUAGCUAGUAGGUGAGGUAAUGGCUCACCUAGGCGACGAUCCGUAACUGGUCUGAGAGGAUGAUCAGUCACACUGGAACUGAGACACGGUCCAGACUCCUACGGGAGGCAGCAGUGGGGAAUAUUGGACAAUGGCGAAAGCCUGAUCAGCCAUGCCGCGUGUGUGAAGAAGGUCG